ACGGGGGGGGCAGGCGUUGUUCGGAAUUACUGGGCGUAAAGGGCGGGUAGGCGGCUUUUCAAGUCGGGCGUGAAAUCUCCAGGCUUAACCUGGAAGGGUCGUUCGAUACUGUUAAGCUAGAGUGUGGAAGAGGCUACUGGAAUUCCGUGUGUUGCGGUGAAAUGCGUAGAUAUACGGAGGAACACCUGCGGCGAAGGCGGGUAGCUGGGCCAACACUGACGCUGAACUGCGAAAGCUAGGGGAGCAAACGGGA
rnacentral:rRNA from 1 species